UUUGACUCAACACGGGAAAUCUCACCAGGCCCGGACACCGGAAGGAUUGACAGAUUAACAGCUCUUUCUUGAUUCGGUGGGUGGUGGUGCAUGGCCGUUCUUAGUUGGUGGAGCGAUUUGUCUGGUUAAUUCCGGUAACGAACGAGACUCUAGCCUGCUAAAUAGGCGUCGUCAUUUAGGUGUGCGUGGCUCUGUCACGCAACUCACUGGCGACGUAUUAAAAUUCUUCUUAGAGGGACCGGCGGCUUCGAGCCGCACGAGAUUGAGCAAUAACAGGUCUGUGAUGCCCUUAGAUGUCCUGGGCCGCACGCGCGCUACACUGAAGGAAUCAGCAUGUUCUCCCAGGCCUAGAGGCCCGGGCAACCCGUUGAAACUCCUUCGUGCUGGGGAUUGGGGUUUGCAAUUAUCCCCCAUAAACGAGGAAUUCCUAGUAAGCGCGAGUCAUAAGCUCGCGUUGAUUACGUCCCUGCCCUUUGUACACACCGCCCGUCGCUACUACCGAUUGAAUGAUUUAGUGAGGUCUUCGGACCGACACGCGGUGGCUUCACGGCCGUCGGCGUUGCUGGGAAGUUGACCGAACUUGAUCAUUUAGAGGAAGUAAAAGUCGUAACAAG
rnacentral:rRNA from 1 species